rnacentral:lncRNA from 1 species
CUUUUACUUUUUUUGUUUCCCACUAAAUCUUUGAAAUCUGGUGUGUCUUUUUACUGUUACAGCACGUCUUAAUUCAGACCAGUCACAUUCGAGCACUCAAGAUAUGACAGCUGGCUGCCAUAUUGGACACACAAGGAUGGAUAUUUGAUAUUAGGAAAUUGUUAUUUUUCAGGUGUGUUAAUGAUAUUGUGGUUGUUUCUCUAAAAACUCCUGUCCUUUGGGUAUGUUGAAAUACUUAAGGAUGAAAUGAUACAAUGAAACUUGGUUCUGCCAGAGGAAAAAUUUUCCCUCUUCCCUUUUGGGACUGUGCUUGGAGGUCCUGAAAAUUAAAUUGACAAAACACAGGUGAACAGGAAGAAAGCAAAGUGUAUUCACACCCUCUGGCGGGUACAGAAGACGUGCACGCAGUAAUCAGAGGUAGGGGUAAUAGGAGAAAGGGAGGGAGGGGAAAGAGAAGACCAAUCGGUUUCUUUAGGAAAGAGAAGAGGGUGUUUAGGGGAACAAGCAGGAGGUAAGUUUGUGAUCAUAUUUGCUAAGCAGGUGACUCGCACGUCUUGGGUUUAAAACGAAGAAUUCUGUGGGUCUGGGCAGCCGAGCGUCGCACUAUGGGAACCAGGAAGUUCGCGCAGUGUUUGCCUUCCGCGAUAAAACGGCGAUUUCGGUCCUUCGAAGGUUUUUACGAGGUUCCGCGCGCGGGGCCGAGGCGAGGACUUUAGGGCCGAGACUAGGACUUUAGCUCCGAGCUCCUCUGCGGGGAAAGGCGGGAGCUCAAGCCGGGCGACACCCGCCGCGAGCGAGGGGUGACUCUCGGCGUUCCCUGCCCGGCCGGCCCCCCGCGAACCCGCCCCACCGCGCCGGGCGGAGCCAACCUCCGCCCUGCGACCCCCGACCCCGCGUACCGCCCCUCCGCCGCCGGGCGCGGUUUCCCGGGGACGCAUUUCUCGCCGCACCGCGGGUUGCCCGGACCUCCCUGGCGGAGCACCUUCCGGCGGACCCAGCGCGGAGCUCUGAGCUCGGCUGCGGUCCGGCGGCAACCCAGGUGUGGCGGCCUCAGGACGCGGCGCGAGCACAGGAACCGCACCCCGCGGGACCCCGGCCGCACCCCCGGAGCUCCAGGCCGCCUCGCCCCGCCCCCGGCUCCGAAGGGCGUAGCUGCGUCGGGAGGAGCCUCAGCCUGGCUCGGGCGCUCAGGUGGCCCGGGUCCGCCCAAGCAACCGGCACUGGGGCUUCAGUUCCUGGCCUGCACCAGCUGACAUCCUUAGUGUCCACAUUUGUGACCAUCGGGCAGCACUGGAGCGGCCUCGAGGAGGGUCGGCUCCUACACCUGCGCUCCGUUGGCCGCGGCUGAG